rnacentral:rRNA from 1 species
GUGUCGUGAGAUGUUCGGUUAAGUCCGCUAACGAGCGCAACCCUCGCUGUGUGUUACAAGUGUCACACGGAACUGCCGGUCAUAAACCGGAGGAAGGUGGGGAUGACGCCAAGUCAGCAUGGCCUUUAUAUCCUGGGCUACACACACGCUACAAUGGGAAGGGACAAUAGGUUGCGAAGCCGCGAGGCGGAGCCAAUCCAGCAAAACUUCCCUCAGUUCAGAUUGCAGGCUGCAACUCGCCUGCAUGAAGUUGGAGUUGCUAGUAAACGCAGGUCAGCCAUACUGCGUUGAAUACGUUCCCGGGGCUU